GCGUUAAUCGGAUUUACUGGGCGUAAAGCGCGCGUAGGUGGCCAAUUAAGUCAAAUGUGAAAUCCCCGAGCUUAACUUGGGAAUUGCAUUCGAUACUGGUUGGCUAGAGUAUGGGAGAGGAUGGUAGAAUUCCAGGUGUAGCGGUGAAAUGCGUAGAGAUCUGGAGGAAUACCGAUGGCGAAGGCAGCCAUCUGGCCUAAUACUGACACUGAGGUGCGAAAGCAUGGGGAGCAAACAGGAUUAGAUACCCUGGUAGUCCAUGCCGUAAACGAUGUCUACUAGCCGUUGGGGCCUUAGAGGCUUUAGUGGCGCAGCUAACGCGAUAAGUAGACCGCCUGGGGAGUACGGUCGCAAGACUAAAACUCAAAUGAAUUGACGNUNGCCCGCACAANCGGUGGAGCAUGCG
rnacentral:rRNA from 1 species